GCGCGCCUAGCUCAGUGGUAGAGCACUGCCUUCACACGGCAGGGGUCACUGGUUCGAACCCAGUGGUGCGCACCA
rnacentral:tRNA from 1 species